CUACCAACUGUCUUAAUGGAUUUUUAGUUACGUCACUGGUCUAACAAAUAACUUACUUUCCAAAUAAUCUUCAAGAUACAGCAUUUUGGUAGUCUGCAAAAAUGAUAAGGAGACCACUGACGGAAAUUACACUUAAACUAGAUGAUUUACAAGAAUAUGAAGCUUAUCGAAGGGAAAAGAGUAAUACUUCGUCUACAGGUGCGGAAAUGCAAGAAGACACACCAAAAUCUCUAGGAGCGGGAACAAAAACUAGUGAAGAUAUUCACAAUAGAAUCGGUUAUGCUCCAAAAAAGAAGCCAAGUGGUCCUAGCACUGUUUAAAUAUGUACUUGACUCAUAAUUAAGUAGUAAUAAAUGUGAAUUUGUGUCAAA